UUCUGAUUGAAAAUGUGUGAUGUGUCUAUUGCUCAGCUGUUAUCCAAAUUUCAAGACAGAGUAUUUUAUCCGCGCAAAAUUCGUUACCUUGAAAAAUGUGUGACAGCUUUCGAUUCUCGUAAUAAUGGAUCUUUUUAAUUCUUUGUAUAUAUUCAUAGCCAUUCUCUGGUUAAUAUCACUAUUUUGUUUUCUCUGCCGCUACUCCAGCAAAGACUCAGAAAUUCCGAUUCACAUCGAAGAUGCAGAGAGGACAUCCGUUGUUUCCAAUCAUACACCCCUCACACACGUAGAUUCUAGAGAUUUUCAUACAAUAAGAACCGAAGAACAAGAACGUCCAAUAGGAUUUGCUCCUGAAGUAAUCAGCGGAACAUCUCAAAGUGAAGUUCCAUUGGCGCCAGUUCCAUCGUGUCCGGUGGAAGAAUUCCCGUCAGAACAUAAUACUAACUGUGAAGUACCAUCUUCAGAUCACCCAUCCAGUUGUGACAUUAAUCCGCCUUCUUAUGAACAAGUAAUGAACAAUGAAAGAUUCUACCAUAAACCAUGAAAGGCUUGAGACGUCAAUUGGCCUUAAACAUUAUAUAAGAUCAAAGCAAUCAAAGGGACCACAGCCUUCUCUUUGAGCUCCAACAUGACGCAACAUAACAUAAAAUCAGGAUCCGUUUUCUUAAAAUUGGACGUAGCAUCUGUGAUAACUCCCUUUUUUUAAGUACAAACAGGAAACCAUCUGCAUAAUAAAGAUGUCAUCCCGACUAGUAAAUAAGUAGAAAAAAUCUAAUUAUUAUCUAACUAUCAGAUACCGUAGGAAUCCAGCGAGACAAACUGAAAAUAAUUUAAGCUUCCCAUCAUUAGAGCCCAAUCGACGCUGAUGACCCGAUCUACCACUCACGGUUCACACGCGGUAGUCUUAUUUAUUCACCCUCCGAUUAAAAUACAAGAUUUUUUCGCAUAUUUCUAAAGUAUACUGGACAACUUAAAGUAAUUUAGCUCUACAAAACAAUUGUGGAACUAAAUAAAAUAAUUGUAAGGCUCUGCUUCCUUUAGAAAUAGCCCUUAACUCUCCCUAUGAAAAAACUCCGAAUUAUGAUCUAACUUUUGCCACUUAGUGCUUAUUAUACUUUUUUAAUUAUUAUCUUUCUUGGUAUUGUAAUAUUAUAUAAAUAGCAUUUAAAUGAACAAGAAGUUUGACGGUUUCACAGUUUUACAUAAUUAUUGUAAAAUAUCUCACGAAAAAUUGCAGGGAUUUUUAAAGUAACGAAGAGUAAAAAGCAUAAAGGCAACAGAAGCAAAUAAGUAUAAGGGAAGACUUUCAGGCUUCGCACACACUCUGGCUUCGAACACUUAAUACUUUUCCCAUAUUCCUCUAAUGAAUCUGACCAAUCUAUGGUAAUAUAUUUUGAUAGCUAAUCUUAAGUCAUUAAGAUUAAGGGCACUCAAUGGGUUAAGUAGUAGAGCACUCGCUCUAUGAUGCAAGUGUCCCGGGUUCAAAUCGCCUUUAGGUCACCAGGAAUUUUUCUGGCGUUAAAGGUAUUCGGAUUGCAUCCAGUGAGCUUCACUGCACUUGAUUCCACGGUCAUGGGACUUACAACCUCAUCCCGUACAAGAAAAAAAUAAUAAUGUAUGUCUAGAUAUUCCCUUGCGGAAAAGCCUUGUUCCUUUAUGCAGGGGCCCAUCGAGCCUAAUAAAAAGUGAAGAUAUUUUUCACUUUUCCUUUUAAAAAUUUUGCAGAUAUUGCACCGCGACUUAAACAAAUUUCCUCGUAGUUCUUAUAUUAUUUCGGCGAGCAUUAUGAAAUAUGUAUUUUUAGAUAGCUUUGAUAGCUUUUAGAAAAAGACUUGCCAAUACUCUUCAGUGCCUCUAUGCAAAACGUAUGGAAAAAUGAAAUGUCGAGAGGCCCCUGCUUCAUGGAAUGUUGUACUAGCAUUAUUAUUAUUAUUAAUCUUAAAUCAUGCAUAUAUUAAAAAAAAUUAUAGGUCAGAUUGGUCAGAUUCAUUAACAAAAAGUGUGAAAAAUAUGAAGUGUUUGAAACCAGAGUGUGUGCGAAACCUGAAAGCCUUCCCCUACCCAAACUAGCCACAAUGGCUGGGAAUUGGCAACUGAGUUGCAAAAAAAACACUAUAAUUAGCCUCAAGCCCCUAAUAGACUCAAGCUGAUCUUCGAGAAUAUUUAGCCUUUAAAAUUUGGCAGUAAAAAUUUAUCCUAAAUUGUCGUAUACUGAGAGUUUAGGAUCAUCGAUUAGAGAUCCUUUGCAUUAAUUUCCUUUAAUUCUUGUUUGCCAAAUUUUACAGAAUAAAUAUUCUCAAGGAUCGGGCCUCAGUGGAUCAUUGGAUAGAGUAAUGGCUCUAUGUGUGUGAAGUCUCGGGUUCGACACUAGGCGCUGCAUAGAUUUUUCAGCUGUUGUAUUAGUCUCGAAUUAGUUCAGUGAAUGAAUGGAAAAGUAACCGCCUAAAAAAGAGAGGUUGAUAUAGGAAAUAAGUUUCGAUAUGCAGAGUUCAGUCGAACACAAAUACACAUUCACUGCCCAGAUCCACAAACCGAGGCUGGUCUACCGUAAUAUAAAACGGUACUGUGUGUAUCAGAACGCACACAGAGCUUUGUGAUACACGGUAAAAACUUUUGGACACUGACUAAAAUAUUGGAACAAGUUUUCCAUUUGGCGUUCUCCUCGCUUCGGUGACGGGUGACGGAGUGUGAAAGGAGGGCUACGAUAUUAAACUAGACAAGCUAUUUUUUGGAACAAAUUCGUUACUUUUAUUGGGUAUCUUUUUGUUCCUCCUAGAAGGUACAAAUUUGUUCCAAAAAUUUUCGGUGUCCGUGGACUAGCUACAUUUUGGAACAAAUUCGUUACUAAUAUUCGGUAUCUUUUUGAGUCUCAUAAAAUGAACAAGAUUGUGUCAAAAAUUAUGGUGUCCGUGCCCGUGGACGAGCUAAUUUUUGGAACAAAUACGUGCCGAAAUUUUUUACCCUGUAUAGAGCAAGUUUACCCGCCUUGGGGGUUAAGAUAGAACAGGAGAAUGAGGAGUGCAUAAUGGGCCCAAAUAAGUGGCCUGGGUGCAGCGGUUCGGAAAGGAAUAUAAACCGACCCAUAGACAAAUCUUAAUCUUAAUCUUCUCGAGGAUCUGCCUGAGUCUAUUUGUGCCCUUAUACAAACCAUCAACAUGUACCUGAAUCUUAAUGUAACGCCUUUAAACUUUUCCUUAUGCCGCAAAUGGACUUGACUCAUAAUAAUCUCAAUCUCAGGUUAAUUUUAUUGCUUGAACUCAAAGAGAGAGCAAUAAAUACAUAUAUUUAGAACUUAUAUAUGUAAGCUAAUUCACAAAGUUUAAAACAAUCUGUAAAUAUGUAAAAUCUUUAAGAUUGUUCUUAUGUUGCAGAAGUUCUGUUAAAGGUAAUGUUAAUAUGUGCUUUGUUAUUUAUAGCUUUUAAGACCUUAAUUUCAUGGAAAAAUUUGCAUAAAAAUAAUUAAUAAUUUAGCAAUAAAAAUAAAUGAAACUGUCCGUCAAUUCUAAGAUAGAUCUUAAAAUUGAUAAAUGCUGAUUCCUCCUAUCUAUUGACAUGGAAAUUUAUAUUUUUUGUUUGAUUUACUGGAGUAAAAGAGCAACAAAACUUUUCAAUUUAUUAAAAUUCAUACGUUAAACAUCAUGAGUUGGUCACGAGAUCUUAUAAAAAAUAUUAAAUGUGCCGAAAAUUUUAAGAUGAGCUUGUAAUAUAAUAAUGUAAUAUCAUUAUACAGCCUUUAACUCAGAAUAUUAAAUCAUUCAUUUUGAUAGUUAGCAUUAAAUUUAAAUGUUUCAUGCUUCCUGUUAACAUGUUUUAUAUUAUAUUUUCAAAAUUCAAUAUUGUUACCAAAUGUGCCGAAUGCCGCAUGAAUAUUAAAUAAAGAUACUACUUUAAUAGCAAUUUCUUUAAUACUAUGCCCUAUAGGAGUAUGGUAAGGCAUAUCUUAUACUGCAAAUUCUAAAAAUCAAUCUGUUGUACCGUAUUUCCCACAUUUCAAGACAGUGUCAUCCGCGCAAAAUCCGUUCCUUUGGAAAAUAUGUGCUCACAUUUCAUUCUAAUUUGCAAUAUUUUUCGUCACACCAAUGGACUAUCUUGAUACUGUGAUUUUCUGCCUAGCCACUUUCUGUUCAAUUUUCAUUUUUUACGCACUCUGCUGCAGCUCUAACGAAGAAGAUACAGAAGUUCCCAUUCAUAGGCGUAAGUCUCCCUCUUAUUUUUUUUUCUUUUUUUUUCCUAGAUGCUCAGAAUAUUUUAAGAGCCUAUUUAUUCUGCAGCUGAUAUUGUAGUAACAUCCUCUAGUUAUACACCCCUCAGAGAGGCACAUCAUAGGAAUUUUCAAACUAUAGGAUCCGGAGAACAAGAAUGUCCAAUAGGAUUUACUCCUGAAGUAAUUAGCGGAACAUCUCAAAACGUAGUCUCAUUGGCGCCAAUUUCAUCAUGUCGGGUGGAGAAUUUCCCGUCAGAACAUACUACUAACAGAGAUGUACCUUCUUUAGAUAAUCCAUCCAUAAAUGACAAUCCGCCUUCUUAUGAACAAGUAAUGAACAAUGAAGCUUCUUACCAUAAACCAUGAAUGUCUAAAUACUGCUAUUGACCUAAUAUAAACUCAAAAACCAUCCCUUUCAGUUCUAACAUAAUGCAUAUACUAUAUAUAUUUUGAAAUUAAGAUCUCUUCCCUUCUCUUGAAUAUGAACGGACCAUAUGUAUAAUAACUUUUUUUUAAUUAACUACAAUGCAAAUAAGUAAAAUUUAAAAGUGCAAAACGAAUGUAUUACCUCAAUGAAAAAAUUAAAAAUACUCUUAAUACUUAGAAUCAAGCAAGAUUUUAGAAUUUAAGUAAAAAUCGAUUUUUAAUCUAACUUUGGUACUUUAGUGAUUAUAUACAUAUAUUAUUUGAAUUUUCUUCAUUAAUAUGAGACCAUGGAAGUAGUAAGUAUUUGAUUGACAAAUAAAAUUUUGGAAUUAGUUAUAAAUAAAAAUCCAACUUGUAACGGAAUUUUGUUUAAGAUAGUACACAUCUGUCGCAUAUACAUAAACCCCAAAACUAAACGAUAUGGCAUGGAAUUGGCUACUUAACAGCAUAAAAUGCCUUAGGUUUUAGUCUAAAUCGGACUAUCGAUUAGAAAUUAUACUCUGAGCUCAUUAAGAAUUUAUGAAAAGACGAAGUUGUUGCUCACAUGAAUUAUAGCCUUAAUGUGAAAAUAUUUUAAGUCAAUGUUUGACUAAUACGUUUUUAAUAAAAUAUUAUUGAGGUUUCACUUGAAAGAAUCUCGACUUAAUAUACUGCUCCAAUUGCAAAAAUGAUAAGUUACAUACACAGUAAAAAAAGAUUACUACAAGGAUAAUCGUUGGUUUGCUUUUUUACCACAAUUAUUCUUGUAUAGUUACUCAAAUAUAUAUUUCAGCAAAACGCGUAAUCUGAAAAUGUGGAAUUUAAGUUUUAUGUAAUGGUAAACUGUGUAACAAACUGCAAAUGAUUACACUGUUGUGUACAUUUUCUUACAUAUUUCGUGUAAUCUUACACAGUUUUUAAACAAAAUGUGUACAAAUUACAGAAAUGUGUAUCAGUACACACGAUUACAUGUUUAUGUAAAAUUUACAAUGAUAAUCAUGGCAAAGUAGCUGAAAGUUUUUUACUGUGUAUAGUUUAUAUAGUAUGCUUAUUUUUUUUUACUAAUAGUAAUAAAAUAAUUGUGUAUUUCUUGUUGCCACUAUGUAUUGUUGUUACCAAAAUGUGCCGAAGAAAUAUUAAAUGAAGACAUAAUUCUGA